UGGAAUUCGACUAAGCCAAAUUCCGAAACUGAAUAUCAAAGUUUCCUAUACAUUAAUAACAUAUAAACUAAAACUGCAAUUUCAAUUGGUAGGUUCGAAACUUCGAAUACAAGAUCACAAUAUUACAACAUUGGUUUUAAAGAAUCCAAAUUACAAACCUAGCACAAAAUCAUAAGUAUGUUAUGAUAUAUAAAAAAUGAGUACCAAAGCAUCAACAAGCAUGAAGAACCCUAGAAGCCAAACUGCUGCUCCAUGCAUCUCUAAAAACAAGUGGUGGGGUAAUCUUUUCCCCAUAAUGCACACUGAAACCUAUCAAGAAAUGAAGAUGUUUCAGCAUGAAUGCCUCGCAAGAAAUAGAAGAAGAAAAUGCUCACAGUUUAACCUGCACUUGUCUCCUGUAAAGAGGAGGCAACAACUGAUUGGCAGCUUGCAUGGAUAUUGAUAGCUGUAGGGACAAGAUUGAUGUUGAACUCUUGACAUGACUUUCGCAAGUUGAAGCAUACAUCAUUGAUCAGAUUGAAACCAAUAGCAACCUGCAUAGAUAUAUAAUUCACUCAAACAACUUCAUUCUAGCACUUCCAAAGCAAACAAUCCACUAGAUAUAUUCAAUAAGCCAAGAUUUCCAUUAAACUAAUUAGGCAACACAGGCCCUGUAAUUCCUUGAACACUAAUAGCCUCAAAGCAGGCAGCAUGGAUCACUGAAAGAGUAAUUCGGAUUGGUUCCAUUGAGCCAGGAAGGGAGCUUGCACUGCUUCAAGUUCAUGCUCCAAAG
rnacentral:lncRNA from 1 species